AAUCACCCGAUCUCAACCCAAUUGAGAUGGUUUGGGAUGAGUUGGACCACAGAGUGAAGGAAAAGCAGCCAACAAGUGCUCAGCAUGUGGGAACUCCUUCAUGACAAUUGGAAAAGCAUUCCUCAUGAAGCUGGUUGAGCGAAUGCCAAGAGUGUGCAAAGCUGUCAUCAAGGCAAAGGGUGGCUACUUUGAAGAAUCUAAAAUAUAUUUUGAUUUGAUUAACACUUUUUUGGUUACUACAUGAUUCCAUAUAUGUUAUUUCAUAGUUUUGAUGUCUUCACUAUUAUUCUACAAUGUAGAAAUAGUAAAAAAAAGAAUAAAGAAAAACCCUUGAAUGAGUACAUGUAGGUGUGUCCAAACUUUUGACUGGUACUGUAUAUAUCCAAAUCUCUGCUGACGCAGGCUACUAAAGGUGUCCGCAUGCUUUCCAGCCGAAACAGUUUGGAAGAAUUUGUGUAUAUGACGACAUUUUGUGAUGUUUGUUCAUUUUGGACUUCAGUAAGUUUUUUUUGGCUGUUCAGGCACACAGAAACAUUUCGAGGCAAGCCGAAGUCGGUAGCCGAAGUCUACGCCCAUUCAUCGGUGAUUGUUCAACAUUGUCCAGAGAGGAUGGCAGCCUGUCUCUCCCCUCUGGAGGAUGACCUGUCAUGUCCCAUCUGCUGUGAGAUCUUCACAGACCCAUCAUCCUCUACUGCAGCCAUAGCUACUGCAGGACCUGCCUGGAGGCCACCUGGAAGCAGGACGGGACCAAGGUCUGCUCUGUCUGCAGACAGACGUUUCCCGGCAACCCUGAGACCCUGCAGAGGGAGAAGCAGCGCACGGACAGCCAGCUGCCCAGAAAGAUGGCCAAAGAGGUGACCUCGCAUGGAGAACCCCCACAGGCUCCAAUGCGCCAAACACACUUCACAGGCCUAAACAAUGUGUGUGGCCUCCACUAACAUAAGCUUGGCUUGUUCUGCCUGGAGCGUGAGUGUGUGGAGUAUUUCUGAGCACGCAGGCCACAGUUUCUACUCUGUGAAGAAGGCUGCUACCCAGAGGGAGGAGCUCAGAACACCACUGACGGCCCUACAGAAUAAAAUGGCUGUCGUUGACAAGACCAAACCCUCCUGGGAGAAAAUGGCAUCUCACAUCGGGGCGCAGGCCCAGAAAACCGAGAUAAAAGAGGAAUUUGAGAGGCAGAGAGAAUAGCCAAGCUGAGGGAGGAAGAGGAGGAGAAGAUUAAAAGGAUGUCAUCUCUGUCUAAAAUAAUCAGGGAGGUAGAGGAGAAGCUGUCGGGUGAUGACACCGCAUUCCUGCAAAGCUACAAGACCGCGAAGAUGAAAGCAGAGAUUCUCCUCUUGACCCUCCGCUUGUCUCUGGAGCUCUGGUCGACGUGGCCAAACACCUGGGCAACCUUGGCUUAUAGGUCUAUCAGAAGAUACAGCGAAUUUUGGACUGCACACCUGUAGUUCUGGACCCAAACACAGCUGCAUGCUCUCUCCAUCUCUCAGAGGACCUUACCAGCCUAAGAAUGAAGACUGAGGAUAGGAGUCUUCCAGACAACCCAGAGAGGUUUAGUGGGUACUUAGACAUUCUGGGUUCAAAGGGAUUCACCUCAGGGAUUCACAGCUGGGAGGUGGAGGUGGGGGACAAUGACGACUGGUUAUUAGCGGUGGAAAAAGAGUCCAUUAGCAAGAAAAAUGCUUCUUAAAAAAGCUAAACAGUUAACUGUAGGUGUGCUUGAUGGUGUACCAGAGACAAUCAAGCAGAAGCUGCAGAGGAUCUAUGUUCAGCUAGACUUGGACAAAGGAAAGUUGUCCUUCUAUGCUAUUUCUGCUGUUUACGUUCGAUUACAUCACCUCCACACCUUUAACCUCACAUUUACAGAGAGGGCGGUUCCAUACUUCUAUAGAUCAAAGGCGUACCACUGCAGAUCAUAACAGCAGAGGUCACUGUGUGUAAAACCAUGCUCUGCUCUGAAUGAGUAAAAGAGUACUUCCAUUUUGUAAUGUGAUUCUCAACAGAAGGAAUGUCAAAUACCAACGUAAAUACCUUUUUUAUUAUGUUGCUAAUGCUAACUUUGAACCUUAUCAUUUUUUACCUGAACGUUUCUUUCUUUUCACAAGGCUGUUGAGCUACAGAACAGAACAUUUUUUGUUGUUAAAAGAAAAUUGCUGCACUGCCACUGUUUAGACCUACAUUGAUAGAUUAUUCAAGCCUUACAUUUCAAAUGUUCCUGGCAAGAAAUGAUUUCAAAUAAAGUAUUUGGCAUACGUAACAAAAU
rnacentral:lncRNA from 1 species